GCCAACAGUAUAUUACUGUAAAUAGCAAAGGAUUAUGGGAAAAUAUAAGUUUAGUACUGUAAUUAUUCUCUACUGUAAAUCGAUUUACAGUAGCGACAAUGCCCGCGAAAAAAACUGACCAAUGACAACGGAGACUUCUUUUCAACGGUUUUUUUUUUUCGGUUGGUUGGGACAACGGAGGAAACACUCAACAAAAAGGUUAGUAUUGUUUCUGUAAUUAUUUUAUUUAAAACCGAGAUAUUUUCAAAUGCAGUCACUUAUUAACAGCAACCUAACAAGAACCAGUGUUGCAAAUUGAGUGAGUUGUGAGGACAAUAUUCCUGUAGUCAAGACUUUUUUUCUGCCUGUUUGUCAAGGCCUGAGGUAAUGUUACAAUUGUUACUGCCCUUAUCAUUAUGACAACUUCAACGGGGUGAAUAAAGUUUACAUUGACUGAUAUUUAGUGACACAGAAACAAAAUAAGCUUUUUUUUAAUGCGCCUCUGCCUCUUUAAUGUAAAUUAGCUAAGCAGGAGAACUCUGUGGAAACUUUACGUUAACAGCAAACUAUCUUGAAGUACAAAAAGAAAACGUGAGGCAACACUAAAGACGGAGGUUGUAUAACAGUAUUUUGAAGUGAAUAUUUCGUUUUCAUUUAGUUUUUUGCUGUUAGAACCGCGGAACGUCGGAGGUUUGGAGUUGCUUGGAGUUAUUUUCUGGCGGUUACCGUCAUCUGAAGAAACUGGUCACUGCAACUCCAGCAGAUGCAGAGAGAAGCCUCUCUCUGCCCAGUACCCCAAGACUGAUUGCACUUGGUUCAUUCUGAGAAUAAACCCUGAUGGCACCAAAUGCCUAAAUCACAAAAUCAAAAUCACAGAUCAGCCGGGCAUCUGGAAAAAGGGUGCAGAGAAAAAUCGCCAGCCUGAAUCCUCUUGUGACAUCUUUCAUCAGAGAGCUUGUUGAAUUCGAUUGGCCAAAUUAUUGAAAGAAAACACGACUAAAACAUGUUUUUACUGUUUGAUUUGUUCUGCUUUUCAGAAUGUUUUUCAGAAAUGUUUAGCCAUGUUACAAAUACACAGGAUGAAUUCAAACACAUUUGUAGAAUGUACUUUUUAAAGUAAAUGUUAAAUAAUGAAAUAGUUAAACAAUGAAACAGCACAUUUUAAUGACAAAUGUUCAUGAGAACUUAUGCAUUUUUGGGGGAGUAAAAAACGUAUAGUUUACAGCUAGUGGUUUUUCAUUCGUUAAACAUCAGUUACACCUGUUGUUAAUUUCAUUAAUUGGUUCGUCUUUUUAUACUCUGUGUUUGGUUUUGUUGCUUUGUUUCCUGAGUAUUUUGAGUUCUAUAUUAAAUAAAAC